rnacentral:rRNA from 1 species
ACGGGAGGCAGCAGUGGGGAAUAUUGCACAAUGGGGGAAACCCUGAUGCAGCGACGCCGCGUGAAGGAAGAAGUAUCUCGGUAUGUAAACUUCUAUCAGCAGGGAAGAUAAUGACGGUGCCUGACUAAGAAGCCCCGGCUAACUACGUGCCAGCCGCCGCGGUAAUACGUAGGGGGCAAGCGUUAUCCGGAUUUACUGGGUGUAAAGGGAGCGUAGACGGACUGGCAAGUCUGAUGUGAAAGGCAUGGGCUCAACCUGUGGACUGCAUUGGAAACUGUCAGUCUUGAGUGCCGGAGGGGUAAGCGGAAUUCCUAGUGUAGCGGUGAAAUGCGUAGAUAUUAGGAGGAACACCAGUGGCGAAGGCGGCUUACUGGACAGAUAAUGACGCUGAGGCUCGAAAGCGUGGGGAGCAAACAGGAUUAGAUACCCUGGUA